AGUAAUGGAGGUGUUGGUUGGAGAGCUGGUUGGAUCUACAGUCUGGGAGUAAUGGAGGUGUUGGUUGGAGAGCUGGUUGGAUCUACAGUCUGGGAGUAAUGAAGGUGUUAGUUGGAGAGCUGGUUGGAUCUACAGUCUGGGAGUAAUGGAGGUGUUGGUUGGAGAGCUGGUUGAAUCUACAGUCUGGGAGUAAUGGAGGUGUUGGUUGAGUAGCUGGUUGGAUCUACAGUCUGGGAGUAAUGGAGGUGUUGGUUGAGUAGCUGGUUGGAUCUACAGUCUGGGAGUAAUGGAGGUGUUGGUUGGAGAGCUGGUUGGAUCUACAGUCUGGGAGUAAUGGAGGUGUUGGUUGGAGAGCUGGAUGGAUCUACAGUCUGGGAGUAAUGGAGGUGUUGGUUGGAGAGCUGGAUGGAUCUACAGUCUGGGAGUAAUGGAGGUACUGGUUGGAGAGCUGGAUGGAUCUACAGUCUGGGAGUAAUGGAGGUGUUGGUUGGAGAGCUGGAUGGAUCUACAGUCUGGGAGUAAUGGAGGUGUUGGUUGGAGAGCUGGUUGGAUCUACAGUCUGGGAGUAAUGGAGGUGUUGGUUGGAGAGCUGGAUGGAUCUACAGUCUGGGAGUAAUGGAGGUGUUGGUUGGAGAGCUGGAUGGAUCUACAGUCUGGGAGUA